UGUUAAGUCGGAUGUGAAAGCCCCGGGCUCAACCUGGGAAUAGCAUUUAGAACUGGCAGGCUAGAGUCUUGGAGAGGGGAGUGGAAUUCCAGGUGUAGCGGUGAAAUGCGUAGAGAUCUGAAGGAACAUCAGUGGCGAAGGCGACUCCCUGGCCAAAGACUGACGCUCAUGUGCGAAAGUGUGGGUAGCGAACAGGAUUAGAUACCCUGGUAGUCCA
rnacentral:rRNA from 1 species